rnacentral:rRNA from 1 species
GACGAACGCUGGCGGCGUGCUUAACACAUGCAAGUCGAGCGGUAAGGCCCUUUCGGGGGUACACGAGCGGCGAACGGGUGAGUAACACGUGGGUGACCUGCCCUCAGCUCUGGGGAUAAGGCCUGGGGAAACCCGGGUCUAAAUACCGGAUAUGACUCCAUGACGCAUGUUGUGGGGGUGGAAAGGCCUUGUGCGGCUGAGGA